rnacentral:lncRNA from 1 species
UUGUGAAAUCUCAUUUUCUUAUUAACUUGUCAAGACAAAAGAAUGACAUAUAAUACAAAAUCGUGUUUUUACAUGUACAUGUCAAAACAAAUUAAUCUUCAAAACAUAGCAUUUCCACGCAGCCAUCAGUUUCCUAACUGCCUCACCCAUCACCUUCCUCACCACCAAAAGCGUCCGCCACCAUCUCCGUGUUGCUCCGGCUCCCUUCGUCCUCCGCCCCACCACCACCGAAACGACGAGCGUUGCCCCCUUCAUGACCUUGGCGGAGCCGGGCACCUCCAGCUGAACUAAAUACCACAUCUUCAUCCUCAACGCCGACACUCGACUCCUACUCUCCGCCAUUUCGCAGCAGCUUCACCAGCUUGGCGAAGACUCUCUUUUUGCUCCGGUGACUUGCUUUGUUGUCGCUGAAGUUGUCGUUCGGGAAUGACAGGGCUCACCGGAGUCUGUGAGAUACGAGGCCUGGGAUAUGGACCAGUCAUCCCGAUAGAAAUCACCAAUGUCGUUCAGAAGUAACUUAUGUUUGUGGGAUAUAUAGGUUAGAAUUAGUUGAAUCCCAGUUAGUUAUUUCUUUGUGUUUUG